rnacentral:rRNA from 1 species
AUGAGCUGUCAACUCUUUUCUACAUCUCUAAAUUCGCUUCUGCUUGCUGAUUACUUGCUCUUUGUGUGUGCAUCAGCUUCACGUGGAUUCCAUGCUACCGGUGUGAAGAGGAUGUCAGGGCAUGGCCAUGAUGAGCCAUACUACCUCCACGCCAAGCACAUGUACAACUUGCACAGGAUGAAGCAUCAGAAGCUGACUGCAUGGACUUCGGUGCUGGGAGCUGUAAGCAUUGGUGUCGGUGUCCCGGUCUUCGCGGUCGUCUUCCAGCAAAAGAAGACCUCCUCGGGCUGA